AUGUACCUAGUAGCUUGGGCUGUAGUGGAGAAAGAGACCACUGAUAGCUAGAAGUGGUUUAUAGGUCUGUUAAUCAAAGAUUUGGAAAUUAAUGACCAAGGAGCAGGUUGGGUUUUCAUUUCUGAUCAGCAGAAGGUACUAGCUUUUCUUGAAUGCAGAACUACAUUGCUUUGUUAA
rnacentral:rRNA from 1 species